AACGAACGCUGGCGGCAGGCCUAACACAUGCAAGUCGAACGCUCCGCAAGGAGAGUGGCAGACGGGUGAGUAACACGUGGGAAUCUUCCUAUCGGUGCGGAAUAGCUCAGGGAAACUUGAGGUAAUACCGCAUACGCCCUCAGGGGGAAAGAUUUAUCGCCGAUAGAUGAGCCCGCGUCUGAUUAGCUAGUUGGUGGGGUAAUGGCCCACCAAGGCGACGAUCAGUAGCUGGUCUGAGAGGAUGACCAGCCACACUGGGACUGAGACACGGCCCAGACUCCUACGGGAGGCAGCAGUGGGAAAUAUUGGACAAUGGGCGCAAGCCUGAUCCAGCCAUGCCGCGUGAGUGACGAAGGUCUUCGGAUUGUAAAGCUCUUUUGCCAGGGACGAUAAUGACGGUACCUGGAGAAUAAGCCCCGGCUAACUUCGUGCCAGCAGCCGCCGUAAGAC
rnacentral:rRNA from 1 species